rnacentral:lncRNA from 1 species
AUUUUCAAAUUUUGAGCGCGUCUUUGACUCUUUGUCAUCGGUUCAAGGUUUUAUAGUAGAAUUUAGUGAGUUUUUCUUUCGUAUUUUAACAUAAAAUACGCGUUAUUUGAAUUUGUCAAUGAGUAGUCAUGCGAAAUUGGUGAAACACGCUGGAUUAAUAUGCGAGGAGAUCCGGAUUAUUUGUGAAUAGUGACUGUGAUCGCGAGGAAGAAGUAAUUGUGUCAUGGCCAUGUGGAAUUUCUAAAGUUGAUAAGAAAAUAAUCAAAGGUUCCAUUCAACUAUCUACAAUUUCAACAACAACAUGUGUACAGCUAAAGUAUUAUAAUUCAGUGGCUUCAAGAUCACCUUUGAGUGCAAGAUUCUUGUGACUGAUGCUGAAUCAGAAAUCCUCAAAUUCUGAUGCUGAAUCAGAAAUCCUCAAAUUCUGAUGCUGAAUCAGAAAUGGCAAGUAUUAUUGUAUUUAUGCUGUCAAAACUCAACAACUGCAAAUCCUACUUCUGGUGAAUCAUAUAGAUAAUAUAAUAUACCUUUUAUUUAUAUCAUUAUAAAUAGGGCUAUUACAACUAUUUCUGUCAAUGCUUUUGCAGUACAUUUAUAAAUUCUAUAGCUAUAUCAUCGCAUCAUGCUAAGAAUGAAUAAGGUGUCAAAUGUUUAAAUUUCAUAUUUACUGUUAAAAUUUACAGAUUUUCUUAUAUCCAAACAUAUUAACCAAAGGUCAAAAUUUGGUUUAUGCAAUUAUGGGCAUGUCGAGGAUGCAAGAACAACUUUGCUCUCAUUCCAUCCCUGGGAAACUUUCAAAUGUCUUUAAAGAAAAGGAUGCAAAACCCCAACUCGACCCAGAGAAAAUUAAGAGUAUAUGUGAGCAUCAUUUCGAUGCACAUGUUUAAGAUGCCGAAACAUUGAUUCAAAGAAGCCAUCAAUGCUGGCUGCUCUGGAAAAGAACAAGAACAAAGAUGUCCAACACAUUAUUGGUCUAUUAGAGGAUUGUCACCCGAACUAGAAAAAGGAUGACAGUGGUGUUGAAAUUUAGACCAUUGUAAAAAAAAGAACAUUCCCGAAGUUGCUAUUAACUGGAUCUCUUGGUGACAUCCAUUCACUAGACCUUUUGGCUGAAGGCAUGGUAGCAAUAAAGUUUAAGCAGUUUUCCAUCUUAAAUGCUGUUGUGUGUUUGCUGACUGCAUUGUAUGUAUCCAACACAGAGAACCCUAAAGAUGGAGGUGGGUAGACAAAGAAUGUGUUCCUUCUUCUGGACCAGAUAUUACUACAAACAGACGGAAAAACGAACAUUCCAAUUGGAGUUAAAAACUUUUUACCGCAGCUUUGAGAACCUGGAAAUGACUUAAGUAUAGAUAGAUGAAUCCUAGUAAGAUAAGUGUUUGAAUGUAGUAAUUUGUAUAUAUGUAUGCAAAUAACCAUUAGGAUAAUUUAUUUAUUAUAUUAGAUCUUUUAUAAUAUAUUUGUGUGUUUUGACAAAAUUUGAUUUGAAGUGCUCUGAAUUUCAGGAUAAUUUAACCAAUCUUUAAUUGGUUGAAAUAAUUGGUCAAAAAAACCAUUGCACAUUGGUUACAUUAACCAAAUUCAAUAUAGGUUACAUCAACCUAUUAAAUAUUGGUAGAUUCAACCAAUAUUAAUAUUGGUAAUUUUAACCAAAAUGAAUUUGGUAAAAAAAUAACCAAAUUUUAAUUGGUUGUCCUGGUUGCAUCCAGGAGAACCUUUUUUUUUUGGUUGUUUCAACCAUUCAUUUU